AAUUCGAUUUCAUCUAAAAGAUUUCAUCAUUUGUGAUUUAGGGUUGCUCAGCUAAACCUUACAAGACCAGAUAGUUCUUAUUCAGGAGAAAAUGGGACAAAGACAYUGAGGCAGUUGCAAGCAGAAGAGGACGAUGAAGAAAGGUUUCAAGCUGACCUCUUAAAAGCUGUAUGCCAAAGCCUUGUGUCAAUCCAGAAUCUAGAGGAGGUAUUAGUUCGUAAUCGCAGCGACCGGAAAAGAUUGCAGUUUACAGGUUCAUAUUCGUUUUCUAUUCCUGUUUAAUUUAAUUUCUGUA